AAGAGUGGCCAACAUUUCUCAAAUCUGACUCCAUGUCAGGGAAAUUGCUGUAGAAUGGGCUCUGUUCCACUUAGAGACAAAAUUUCAACUCCUAUAGAAACUAUAGACUGUUUUCUAUCCAAUAAUAAUAAUAAUAUGCAUAUUGUACGAUCAAGGAUUUUGUGGGAAGCCGUUUAAAAAAUUAGCCAAAUUAGCAUAAGUAGUCUAAACAGCGCCCCCAUCCCCAACAGGUUAUUAAAGGGAUACACUCACAUAUGGAAUAUUAGAAGUUUUGUUUUCUGAGUUUCCACUAAAUACGUAAAUUUUUUAGAUAACGGGUUCUUUAUUUUGUCUAAUAUAGUAAGGAACACUUCUUUGAAGUGGUGGUAUGACUUAUGACUUCUAUCAUAACUUUCCGUUGUGGUCUGAUCAGCCACAUUGGAAAGCCAUUUGGAUGGAGAAUCUAAGGUUAUUGGUAAUACUGAGUUUAAUAAUAUAUAUUUUUUUAUGUUUUAAUAUAUAUAUAGCGUUCCCAACUCACUUGGCAGACACGAGUAUGGUAACUGAAAUGUUAGGUCAAGAUAUUAUCCCUAGAGUUGGUUUCCUAGAAUAAUAAUGGAUGACAUUCUAACUAAUCAGAAAGAACAAAUAGAAUGACAGAGGUUCUAGCAGAACACAUUAGAAGACUGUUUAUUAACCAAACCCGUAUGUCCAAGAUUUUAUGCUCUACAGGAGAACUACAGAAGGCGAUUACCCACAAGAUUGGGCCAGGGGCCUGGGUCUGGGUCCAAUCACUAAAGAAUAAGGACUGGAAGCAGCCACGGUGGGGGGCCAUACCAAGCACUCCUGGUGACUGCCUUCGCAGUGAGAAUAUCUGAAAGAACUACCUGUAAUUAACCAUUAUUGAAGUUACAGCUAACCAACUCCUGGGAUCCGCUCAUGACACAGAUGCUCGUGACCAACCCAGUAGGAGACAGAAACGUGAUGCUCCUUGGUCCGAGGGGACAGAUAACAUCCACACCGACCUGUUGGGGGUCCCAAUAGGGGUCCCUCACGAAUUCCAGGCACUAAACCGGAAUGAUGGCCUGUGGUACUUAUUGCCCAUUAUUGGCCCAGCUAUUGUUGAUGCUAAACAAACUGCCUGGAUCAAUUAUAUCUAUUACAAUCAGCAACGUUUUGUUAAUUACACUCAUACUGCACUUACAAGUAUGGCUGAACAAUUAGAGGCUACCUCUAGGACCGCUAGGCAGAAUAGGCUUGCACUAGAUAUGAUCCUGGCCAAUCAAGGAGGGGUCUGUAAAAUGUUUGGUGAGCAAUGCUGUACCUUCAUCCCUAACAAUACUAGCCCAGAUGGAAGUAUUUCAAAAGCUUUAAGUGGCCUUGACAAACUCUUGGUGGAAAUGAAAGGUUUUGCUGGAGUGGAGGAGAGUGGACUGUUCUCCUGGUUGGGUGGCUGGUUCGGUAAGUACACUGCAUUGAUGGUUACUGGAUUUCUGACCCUCAUUGUUGUAUUCCUUAUGUUGAUGUGCUGUGCCGCUUGCAUCUUAUCUUGUUUGAAGAAAUCUGUUACAGAUGUGGGCCAGGCUUCAGGUAUGAUGCCAUUGCUUGAGACUCCGGAAGGAGACACUGACACUGAGUCUAACUUCCGGAGAAAAAUGGGGCUGACUGAGGAUGAUCCUUGGUUCGCUGUGGGUGAGGUUGUGGAAUGAAAAAGUUGAUAAUCAGUAGCUUAAUGUAACUAACAUACAUGUAAUAACUUGUCCUCCCUUAUGUGAAGGUUUAAAGUUCCUGGGUGGCGAGGAGCCGUCCUGGUACAAGAUAUGUGUAGCAGGGAGACCAGAUGGUUUUAAUGUUUUCUACAAAUAUACUCGCCACAGAACACACAACGCCGCUGUUGCCACCGUUGCAGGAACAAUCCAUCACAGCUGCUUCCUGCCAGAGGUCAACCAACAGGAUACAUCCAGAGAGACUGGACGCAAGCAAGAAGACAUAGAACUGAUAAUGGGAACCAUUAUCUUGGGAAUUAUGUUAUGUGAGAUCAAAUGCGUAACAUGAGUGAACUGGUGCUGAUCUCAAAGAUAUUGAACACAUGGAAAGAUUCAUACAUUAUUAUUUAUUUUUUACUUCGACACAUGAAAUGUACUGUAUGCAAAGUAACCAUGUGAUUUAAUAAUGCAUGUUAUCUAUAUCAGAGGAGGCUGGUGGGAGGAGCUAUAGGAGGGCGGGCUCAUUGUAAUGGCUGGAAUGAAAUGAAUGGAAUGGAGUCAAACACAUUGUUUCCAUGAGUUUGUUUUUGGUACCAUUCCAUUGAUACCAUUCCCAUUACAAUGAUCCCUUCCUCCUAUAGCUACUCACACCAGCCUCCUCUUGUCUAUAUCUAUAUAGCAAGCUAAACAUUUCUCCCUACUGAAAAGCAAAUUCUGACGUGUUUUAUGAAACUAAUGAGAAUUGCCUCAGGCCUGCGUUGAAACGGCUGCCAGUUUAUGCGCAUCAAAUGCGCAUCUCUAUUCCCCUGAACACGCAACAAAGCCGCAUGCUCACACGACACCCAAACAUUAGUUUGUUUAUGCUCCAACUGUACCAUGGUAAUGAAUGUGUCCGGAGUCGGGAAGAGACAGACAGGCAGCGUUUCUCAGCCAGUCGAAAUCAUGAAUCUGCUGCUAUUAUUGUUAUGGAUAUAUACAAAGAAAUGUCAAUUGAAAAAAGUGAAACGAAGUACCGAGGUAAAAGCAGUUUUGAGUUGGAUAUUCGACGGAUAUUCGCGCUUUCUAACCUCAAUAGCUUUCAAACCACUUGAGCCACAGACUCCAAAUAAGUGUCAAGAUGUUGGAAAAAUUGCGCACAACAUUGCACAGGUCUUAUUUUCACGAUUUGGACAUUAAUUCGCUUUCCAAAGCUAAUCAACGUGGAAAUGUGAGCAGCAUUUUGUACUACUAGUUGAAUUCGUUAUGGAGUGUAAAAGUACAAACUUUUUUUACAUUCGAAUUUCAAUAGUACUUGACUCAAACAAGGUUCAGAAUGUCCACUGACUACCCUUCUAUAUUGCACAACCUUUGAUUUGUUCAUUUUCAUCUCACACGUUUUUACAUGAAUUUGUCAAACUUUCGCAUUUCAAUAGCUCCUUGGUCAUGUGACCUACUGGACUCAAACAAGGUUCAGAAUGUCCACUCAGUGGGCCUACACAUUGCACAUCCUUUAGUUUGUCCAUUUUCAUCUCAAAACAUUUUUACAUACAUUUUUCAAACCUUCAAAUUUCAAUAGCUCCUUGGUCAUGUGACCUAAUGACUUCAAACAAACUUCAGAAUGUCCACGGACUAGCCUUAUAUAUUGCACACUCUUGUUUGUGUACUGUAAAAUCACACAGUAUAAUGUACAUGUUUUAUAGUUUUAAAUUUCAAUAGCUCCUUGGUCAUGUCAAUUACACACCUAAGAAGUGUGCAGUGGAUAUUCACCCAUAUUGCGUAACCUCUAGUCAUGUAUCUUCUAUAUUGUUGUACAUUAAUAUUAGUUUGACAAUUAGGGGGUUCAGUCCAGUGUUGUGUUAACCCUUUUCUUUCAUAUUUAUCUACAAUAAUUGGUAGUUCUAUGUACUUAUUUUCCCUGUUUUUUUUAUUUUGCCACAGUAUUUAACAGCGGUACACAAUAGGAGAGAGACAGAUAAUAUCUCCUUUCGUCGUUAAUAUCAACCAUAAAGGAAAAGGGCAAAGUACGAGAAUCAUGCUAUUAAUUGUCCAAAGCAGGAAUGGAGUGAAUUAGUGAGGUAGGCUGCAGUGGGUUUGCUGGUCAAUACAUAUACUGAACAUGUAAUCACAGUAAUGGUGGCCAGAAAAUCAAUGAAUAAAAAUGGAAUAUUGACAAAUUAAACAGAAAUUGUAGACCUUUAAUAUUUUCCAACAUGUCAACAGACACUUAACUUCAAUUAAGUAUAAAACAUUUCAGUGUUAAUUUUCUCUUUAUCCCUGGUUGAUGUACAUUUCAGAGCCUCUUCAGUGUGGAUGGGGUAUAGCAUACAUUUUCAACAACAAAGACAUCACUUCCAGUUUGUGUUCUUCACUCUGAAUUCUUUUGUCUUCAUUCCUAGGCACAGCACAUGGAACCACCGCUGGCAUUGAAAACAUUCAAUCUAAAACAAAACAAAGCGUAACAUGUUAUAAAUUAUAUUAAACAUCAAUGCAGUAUGACGAAUUAGCCAUCCAUUGUGUUAUAUCAUAAAUUGUCUGACAUGCCGUCACUGUUGUCAAAAGAUUCUAAACAUGUUAAAUAAAGUUACUAACCCAGUCAGUCUUUGGGCCACAUCCAGGUUCUUUAUCAGUGGCACCCAUGAAGCAGUUGUUGGCUUUGUUGAACUCUGAAGUCAUAGGCAUGAACUGAACAUAUGGCUGUCCCACACAACUACAUAAAAAUAAAGAAUUUACAUUUA